UGUUUCAAACAAUCAACUGCAAUAUCAGCAUCUGUAAGUGAUAAAGAAACGAUGAUCAAAAGUAAGACUGGAGAUAUUCGUGAAAGCCUUGAAAAUCAUUAUGCACCACCCGUACCAGAGAUAUAUGACAAACUGGAUGAUAGAAGACAUGAACCUAAUAUAGCUGAAAAGUUUGAUACAAAUGUUGAACUUAAACAUUUAUCGGAAGAUAAAUGUGUAAUAGAGGAAAACAGAACAGAUCAUUUAGCACAACAGUCAGCUUUUUGAGAUUAAAAGAAAAAUUCAACCCUGACAAGACAAUAACACAAUAAAAGACACAUCAAUUUAUUGAAAACAUUACCAAACUCAUUUUAAUUAAGUUGUGUA